CCUGCCCUUAACUCUGGGAUAAGCCUUGGAAACGGGGUCUAAUACUGGAAUUGACUUUUCCUCGCAUGGGGAUUGGUUGAAAGAUUUAUUGGUUUUGGAUGGACUCGCGGCCUAUCAGCUUGUUGGUGAGGUAAUGGCUCACCAAGGCGACGACGGGUAGCCGGCCUGAGAGGGUGACCGGCCACACUGGGACUGAAGACACGGCCCAGACUCCUACGGGAGGCAGCAGUGGGGAAUAUUGCACAAUGGGCGAAAGCCUGAUGCAGCGACGCCGCGUGAGGGAUGACGGCCUUCGGGUUGUAAACCUCUUUCAGUAGGGAACAAGGCCAGACGUUGUCUGGUUGAGGGUACUUGCAGAAGAAGCGCCGGCUAACUACGUGCCAGCAGCCGCGGUAAUACGUAGGGCGCAAGCGUUAUCCGGAAUUAUUGGGCGUAAAGAGCUCGUAGGCGGUUUGUCGCGUCUGCCGUGAAAGUCCGGGGCUCAACCCCGGAUCUGCGGUGGGUACGGGCAGACUAGAGUGAUGUAGGGGAGACUGGAAUUCCUGGUGUAGCGGUGAAAUGCGCAGAUAUCAGGAGGAACACCGAUGGCGAAGGCAGGUCUCUGGGCAUUAACUGACGCUGAGGAGCGAAAGCAUGGGGAGCGAACAGGAUUAGAUACCCUGGUAGUCCAUGCCGUAAACGUUGGGCACUAGGUGUGGGGGACAUUCCACGUU
rnacentral:rRNA from 1 species